AUGUACUUAGUGAGGUAGCCUACAUCAGCUUAUGGUUUGUAUGGUCUUUUGGAGGCUUUGUUCUAUAUGUAUAUAACUAUUGAACAUUAGCAUGUAUAUUUUUCCAAUAGAGUUUGCUAUAUUAUGAUUUAACUAAUUUUGUGAUUUGAAAAGUGAAAUUUUUCUUCUACUCCCAAAGCUCAUUUUUCAGCCCAAAUUAUCAUUCCUUCUGAGUAGUUUUAAUUUCAGAUAACAAUCUUGGUGGCUGCUGAAGGAGUACAUAAAUUGCCCGCCAUCAAUGGCAGUGCAGACUUGAAGGAAGCCUUGCAAAAGCUUGCCUCUAUCCCUGCAAGCAGAACACUAGCUGUGGAGGUGUUGUGGACUCCUCAGAACGAAAAUGACACUUUGUCGGAGCGCGAAUUGCUUGAGGAUUACCCGCUCUUGCGGCCUCUAUAAAUAACAUAUUUUGCUACCUUAUAUUUUUACAGUUAGAGAUAUGAACUCAACUGUUUUUUAGGAUCCUGAGUACAGUUAGUAAAGAGAAAAUUUGUUUAUGGUACAGAAAAGUUCACUUGUGUAAGAUCAACUGCAUAUAAUGUUGUACUUAAUUUGUAUACUUACAAAUAGAGAGUAUUCGCUAUGAAGCAAAAGCUCUCUUUCACUACUAGCUCUGUAAAUUUUGCCCAUUUUAUAUCUAGUAAAUCUAAGUGCAUAGAAUGAGACAGAGAGAGAUGUGAGUGGGAACACUCUUUAUCUCACAUGUGUCUCAUUCUGUGAAAAUCUUAUGUGUCUAUAGCAUUAUUGUUUUAUAUUAGGAAUUCAAACCCCUAAGCUUAUCCAGUAAGAGCUUGUUCUCAUUUAUGCAAAUUAAUGAUUUGAUUCGUUCA